rnacentral:rRNA from 1 species
UUUAAUGAUCGAACAGAUCAAAAUUUUAAACUUUUGCAUUUAAAUUUUAUCUUAAUCCAACAUCGAGGUCGCAAACUUUUUUUUUUAUUUGGACUAAAAAAAAAUAUUACGCUGUUAUCCCUAAGGUAAUUUUUUCUUAUAAUCAUUAUUAAUGGAUCAUUUAAUCAUUUAUUUAUGUUUAAUUUUUAAAAAAAGUUAAUUUAAUUUUUCUAUCACCCCAAUAUAAUAAUUAAUUUUAUUUUAAUGAAAAUUUUUAUAUAACUUUAAAAUAAAAAUAAAUAUAAAACUCUAUAGGGUCUUCUCGUCUUUUAAAAUUAUUUUAGCUUUUUAACUAAAAAAUAAAUUUCUAAAAAUAAAUAAGAGACAGUUUAUAUUUCAUCAAAUCUUUCAUACAAGUUUUCAAUUAAAAAACUAUUUAUUAUGCUACCUUUGUACAGUCAUUAUACUGCAGCCCUUUAAUUUUUAUCAGUGGGCAGAUUAGACUUUAAAUUAUAUUCAAA